UACACAGGUAUACAGGUACUAUGGUGGU
rnacentral:piRNA from 1 species